UACGUAGGGACCGAGCGUUGUUCGGAAUUAUUGGGCGUAAAGGGAGUGUAGGCGGUUUGCUAAGUCUUCUGUGAAAUCUACGGGCUCAGCCUGUAACGUGCAGAGGAAACUGACAGACUUGAGUGUCGGAGAGGAUAGUGGAAUUCCCGGUGUAGAGGUGAAAUUCGUAGAGAUCGGGAGGAACACCAGUGGCGAAGGCGACUAUCUGGCUGACAACUGACGCUGAGACUCGAAAGCAUGGGGAGCAAACAGG
rnacentral:rRNA from 1 species